UAGGGUCUCAGAUAUAUAACUAUUUAAAAUGACUUUUGCAGCUCAUUUUGUCCCAUUUGGUGUUUUUUUUUAGCAACACCAUUGUUGAUUGUAUGUCAUGUAAAUGAGAGAGGGAGAAUGGCAGAUAUAUAUGGACUUUAAAGCGAUGUGAACUGAGGUUAGUGGUUAUUGCAGAGAAGGAGGAAGUCAAACGUGAAGACUAUUACUGUAGCCUUUCACAAUCAGCCAUUCAGCCCUCCCCCUGUCCAAGUGAAGGUAACAAGCAGACCCUGACAGAAAGCUACAGCUGAAGAUGAAUCCAUGGACCCUCUCUGUGCUCCUGCUGCUAGCUGAUGGAUAGGAUGUGAAGGUCAGAAGCUCCGUCACUGACCAUGUGGUGAAAGAGGGCGGUCAGGUCACACUCACCUGUACCUCAGCCUGCUCCUUCCACCAAUUGGACGUCCACUGGUACAGAAAUGGCCACUCCCUAUCAGAGACAGGCCCCGCCCUCCACCUCAGCAGUCUGACCAAUGACGACACAGGGAAUUACACCUGCUCUAUGGACCCCAGUGGGCUGAAAACCUCUGCGCCUUGGAGUCUGGUCAUGGUGGAAGAUGACAAAAAAGGCAGGUUUGUCUGGCUCCUGACGGUGUCGGUGGUGUUGAAGGUGCUGUGGGCUGUGUUCCUUCUCCUCCUGGCUGGGCUGGUCUUCGCUAAAAGGUCAGCCCCUGGACCGGAACAUGAGAUGGUCUACAGCGAGGUCGUUGGCUGAACCAAACUCAAGCAGCGACUCCUCUUCCUCCUCCAGUGAUGACGAGAUAAGGGAACACUGACGUCAUCAUGUCUGUUGUCUGUCAGUCUUAUUGGUUGAGUCUUGUUCUUUUCAGUUUUUAUUUCUGAUUGUAACAUUUCUGUUGAUUUUAGUGUUUUAUGCAUUUGAGUUAUCUUUCUUUAUUGUAUGUUUAUUCUGAAUAUACUCGAGGUUGUCUGAAUAACGGUGAGGUUUGUAAAGACUGGUCCUGAUGACUAGGCUAUGUUUAAAAAAAAUAUUUCUCAAUUUGGUUUUUUGAUGCCAAGGCUGCUCAGUCUUUCAUGAGCCUUUUCUUCUUCUGUUAGCUUACAGUAUUUAUACAAUCAUAUCUUUACAGUCUAUGGGUCAUGUAGGCUUGCAAUAAGAUCUGUCAUGCUCUUAUCAUCGAUGGUUGCUGUGUUAAAGUGAAGCCAUUUUAAAUACUGAUAAAGUUAAUGGGGGGCAGGAACUUUGUCUACGGCCAUGUGUGUCGAAGUCCUCUCUGCUCCGAAUACUAUUAUUAAGAUUACAGAAGUCACAUAGAGUUGAAUUAAAGUCUUUUUGUGAAGCAUAACCCAAUUUAGACAUACAACAUGCUUUUUGGGAACUGUAUUAGACCUUUCAAGUAGGCUAUUCAACUAUAAAAGUUUAAUUAUUACUUUAUUCUGAAAAUGCAGUGUUUUCAUUUGGAUACAGCUGUUAGUUAGCCUAAUGCUAACAGCUAAUAGGCUAACAAAAUAAAACCAUGCCAAUCUCUAGGUGCAGUGAAGGGCAUUUGAUGAUGUGGGCUAUUUUAAUUCCAAAGGCUGGGGGAACUUAAUCAGGAAGCAUAGUAUCCUGGAUCCAUGAAAUAAUUGGCUUUUAAAAAAUAAAAUCUGCCUGCCUCUAUGGGAAUUUACAA